rnacentral:rRNA from 1 species
UACGAAGGGGGCUAGCGUUGCUCGGAAUCACUGGGCGUAAAACGCACGUAGGCGGAUUGCUAAGUCAGGGGUGAAAUCCUGGAGCUCAACUCCAGAACUGCCUUUGAUACUGGCGAUCUUGAGUCCGGGAGAGGUGAGUGGAACUGCGAGUGUAGAGGUGAAAUUCGUAGAUAUUCGCAAGAACACCAGUGGCGAAGGCGGCUCACUGGCCCGGUACUGACGCUGAGGUGCGAAAGCGUGGGGAGCAAACAGG